ACAGGUGCUGCAUGGCUGUCGUCAGCUCGUGCCGUGAGGUGUUGGGUUCAGUCCCGCAACGAGCGCAACCCUCGCCCUUUGUUGCCAUCGGGUAAAGCCGGGCACUCUAAGGGGACUGCCAGCGACAAGUUGGAGGAAGGAGAGGAUGACGUCAAGUCAUCAUGGCCUUUAUGCCUAGGGCCACACACGUGCAACAAUGGCCGGUACAGACGGAGGCAAUGCCGAGAGGCGGAGCAAACCCGAGAAAACCGGUCCCAGUUCGGAUUGAGGUCUGCAACUCGACCUCAUGAAGUCGGAAUCGCUAGUAAUCGCAUAUCAGAACGAUGCGGUGAAUACGUUCCCGGGCCUUGUACACACCGCCCGUCACACCACGAAAGUUUGUUAGUACCCGAAGUCGGUGCCUUAACCUCGCAAGAGGAGAGAGCCGCCCAA
rnacentral:rRNA from 1 species